rfam:Microgenomates group bacterium RIFCSPLOWO2_01_FTLL_47_10 rifcsplowo2_01_scaffold_23583, whole genome shotgun sequence.
GGCCCUAUCGUCUAAUGGUUAGGACACUAGGUUUUCAUCCUAGUAAUCGGGGUUCGAUCCCCCGUGGGGUCA